CGAACGGAGAAUAGUUAAUGAAGCUUGCUUCUUUAGCUAUCUUAGUGGCGAACGGGUGAGUAACGCGUGGGUAACCUGCCCUUAAGACCGGGACAACAGCUGGAAACGGCUGCUAAUACCGGAUGUAUUGUCCGAGAGGCAUCUCUUGGAGAAGAAAGCUGGCCUCUGAAAAUGCUAGCGCUUAGGGAUGGACCCGCGUCUGAUUAGCUAGUUGGUGGGGUAGCGGCCUACCAAGGCGACGAUCAGUAGCCGGCCUGAGAGGGUAAACGGCCACACUGGGACUGAGACACGGCCCAGACUCCUACGGGAGGCAGCAGUGGGGAAUCUUCCGCAAUGGACGAAAGUCUGACGGAGCAACGCCGCGUGUAUGAAGAAAGCCUUCGGGUUGUAAAAUACUGUUGUUAGGGAAGAACGGCAUCUGUGUAAAUAAUGCAGGUGAUUGACGGUACCUAACGAGGAAGCCCCGGCUAACUACGUG
rnacentral:rRNA from 1 species